rnacentral:rRNA from 1 species
AACGAACGCUGGCGGCAGGCCUAACACAUGCAAGUCGAGCGCCCUUUCGGGGGCGCGGCGGACGGGUGAGUAACGCGUGGGCAUAUGCCCUUCUCUACGGACUAGCCUCGGGAUACUGAGAGUAAUACCGUAUACGACCUUUGGGGGAAAGAUUUAUCGGGGAAGGAUUAGCCCGCGUUGGAUUAGGUAGUUGGUGGGGUAAUGGCCUACCAAGCCGACGAUCCAUAGCUGGUUUGAGAGGAUGAUCAGCCACACUGGGACUGAGACACGGCCCAGACUCCGCCGGGACGCAGCAGAGUGGGAUCCUAGACCAGGCUGGCCGCACAGAAAAAGUCGUGGCGGGUGAGAGAUGAACCCAUUAGCGUAGUAAAGCUGUGUUAGCUGGUGAUAGAGUGACCGUUCCAAGAGAAGAUGCCACGGCUAUCUUCGUG